GCUUUAGUAUGUGAAAGCCUUCGGCUCAACCGAAGAAGUGCAUUGGAAACUGGGAGACUUGAGUGCAGAAGAGGACAGUGGAACUCCAUGUGUAGCGGUGAAAUGCGUAGAUAUAUGGAAGAACACCAGUGGCGAAGGCGGCUGUCUGGUCUGCAACUGACGCUGAGGCUCGAAAGCAUGGGUAGCGAACAGGAUUAGAUACCCUGGUAGUCCAUGCCGUAAACGAUGAUUACUAAGUGUUGGAGGGUUUCCGCCCUUCAGUGCUGCAGCUAACGCAUUAAGUAAUCCGCCUGGGGAGUACGACCGCAAGGUUGAAACUCAAAAGAAUUGACGGGGGCCCGCACAAGCGGUGGAGCAUGUGGUUUAAUUCGAAGCUACGCGAAGAACCUUACCAGGUCUUGACAUCUUCUGACAGUCUAAGAGAUUAGAGGUUCCCUUCGGGGACAGAAUGACAGGUGGUGCAUGGUUGUCGUCAGCUCGUGUCGUGAGAUGUUGGGUUAAGUCCCGCAACGAGCGCAACCCUUAUUACUAGUUGCCAGCAUUAAGUUGGGCACUCUAGUGAGACUGCCGGUGACAAACCGGAGGAAGGUGGGGACGACGUCAAAUCAUCAUGCCCCUUAUGACCCU
rnacentral:rRNA from 1 species